GCACUUGACAAAACAUUACAGGACUUACAGAUUGACUAUGUUGAUCUUUAUCUGAUACAUUGGCCAGUUAGCUUGAAGAAGGAAUCGACUAAGCCAACACCUGAGAUGCUCACUAA